rnacentral:rRNA from 1 species
ACACAUGCAAGUCGAGGGGCAGCAUUUCAGUUUGCUUGCAAACUGGAGAUGGCGACCGGCGCACGGGUGAGUAACACGUAUCCAACCUGCCGAUAACUCGGGGAUAGCCUUUCGAAAGAAAGAUUAAUACCCGAUGGUAUAAUUAGACCGCAUGGUCUUGUUAUUAAAGAAUUUCGGUUAUCGAUGGGGAUGCGUUCCAUUAGGCAGUUGGUGAGGUAACGGCUCACCAAACCUUCGAUGGAUAGGGGUUCUGAGAGGAAGGUCCCCCACAUUGGAACUGAGACACGGUCCAAACUCCUACGGGAGGCAGCAGUGAGGAAUAUUGGUCAAUGGGCGCAGGCCUGAACCAGCCAAGUAGCGUGAAGGAUGACUGCCCUAUGGGUUGUAAACUUCUUUUAUAUGGGAAUAAAGUUUUCCACGUGUGGAAUUUUGUAUGUACCAUAUGAAUAAGGAUCGGCUAACUCCGUGCCAGCAGCCGCGGUAAUACGGAGGAUCCGAGCGUUAUCCGGAUUUAUUGGGUUUAAAGGGAGCGUAGGUGGACAGUUAAGUCAGUUGUGAAAGUUUGCGGCUCAACCGUAAAAUUGCAGUUGAUACUGGCUGUCUUGAGUACAGUAGAGGUGGGCGGAAUUCGUGGUGUAGCGGUGAAAUGCUUAGAUAUCACGAAGAACUCCGAUUGCGAAGGCAGCUCACUGGACUGCAACUGACACUGAUGCUCGAAAGUGUGGGUAUCAAACAGGAUUAGAUACCCUGGUAGUCCACACAGUAAACGAUGAAUACUCGCUGUUUGCGAUAUACAGUAAGCGGCCAAGCGAAAGCAUUAAGUAUUCCACCUGGGGAGUACGCCGGCA